GAUUUAUGAUCCAUUUUUAAUUUCCCUUCCAUCUUGCCUGUGUAUCCCCUCUUCUCCCCCAUCCCCACCCCCAGAUUGCCAACAGGGACCUCAGAGCCAUGGCUAGGGUGUGAGAACAAGUAGUAGCCAGAGAGGCAACCAUCUACCAACCACAGCAGCCCUUCCCUGAUUCCACUCCAGGGAGCCAGGGCAUUCUGCUCUUGGUUUCUGGGCUGACACUGUUAUCUCAGCUCUACUCCCCACAGUGCUUCUGGGAACCUAGAGAGACUUUUCUCCAUGAUCUUCCACCCCUGCUUCAUGAGCCUACCUUCUUCAUCUCCUCCAACAAUUGUGUAAAGUCUGGUUCGCAUACUGAUGGGUUUAUUUUGACAGCUUCCUACUUCUCUGACUGAGCCCCAGUAGAUGCAGUCCCUGAUGACAUCAUAGAAGAGGUUCUGUACCAAACCUGCCGUCUCUGCUUCUGGACCCUCACGUGAAGGGGGAAGCAUACUUUACCUUUUAACACUCUACCAGCUUUCCCUCAUGGCUUUCCUGGAGCCUAGCUGCCUCUCCUAGGUCAGGGCAGGAUAGAGACCCACCACAGUGCCUUGUCGUGGGCUCCCCUUCUCACAGCCUGUAGCUUAAGUAACUAUUCCUUCUCCCACUCCCACUCCUGCUCCAGACAGCACGUUCACCUGGAGGGGUCCUGCUUACCCUGCAGUUUUUCCCGGCUUCAUGAUGUCAUUGUUGAGUGUCAUAAAAAGCAUUAUAUGACACCCGGGACUCGGUCUGUGAUCAUUCCACAACCGCCUCCUCUGCUAGACUCUCUUUUUCUCCAAGCCUGUAACACAGAGCUCCAGUGGCCAUUCUUAGAGCCUGGAUUACUUCUGUGUAGAAAGUUCUAGGAGGAGGAACAGUGAAGAAGCAUCUGGAAGCCACGGGAGGGGAGAGAUGGCUUCAUCUUCUGCCUUUCCCAGAAGUCCAACUCUUUGUCCAUCCCAGGAAAGGAUUCCCUCGAUCCCCUAGGACCACCACCGGCCCUAUUACAAAAUUUCUCUCAAAGGCAGUAGACUAAUUAAUGGUCACCCUCUUUUAGGCCGAGCUACCUGAGGCUUCAAUUAGUGCCACUUCAAAAGCUUUCCGAAGCAGGAGGGCACACCUGUCAUGGUGACUCAUGUGUGGAAAUCAGAGGACGGUUUUAGGAGCUGGUUCAUUUCUUCCACCGUGUUGUUGCCAGAGAUCCGACUCAAGUCCAGGCUCAGCAGUGAAUGCAUUUCCCUGCGAACUCUCUCAUCAGCCCUGUGCUUUCUCAACUUUUUCUAAUAAAAAGAUACGUAGAGGCAA